rnacentral:pre_miRNA from 1 species
GGGAAGAAUACCCAGUUAGUUACAUGUAGAGACCACCAAACCCAAAGUUUCAGUUCACUUUCUGACAGAACGAACCCUAACUCAACCUUUUCUCACUCGAGCAGUCACAGGGACAAACCAUCUUCAAAAACCCUUGGGCUUCGAUUGGAGUGGUAAAAGUGAGAUAGGACUCUCUUAGAAGGUGAAGUUUGGGUUUGGUGGCCACUACAUGUAAUUGGUAUUCUUCCUCGCUGCC